CGGGGCCAGGAACCGCCCGGGCGCACGCGGCACGCGGCCGGCGCCCCUCGGCCCGGGGCUUUGGUUCGCCUCGGCGUCGGAGAGCGAAGGUCUUCCCGCCCGAGCCCUGGAAGGAGCCAGUUGCAGGCCUUGCUCCCCUAGGCCCUAACCGCGCAGGGCGAAGGCGCCCGCCAGGCGCACCCCCAAACCCCUGCCUCCUCCUCCGGUUAUGAUGACAUCAAGUGAGAAAUAUGUGAGCUCCAAAAAGUCAAAUAACGACGUGCGUGCUAUUGGUAAAACCCAGAAGGCACAUCUGGUAUUGUCGUCAUCUGUCAACUGAGGAACUGGUUCUAUGGCAGAAGUUUCUGUGGGAGUCAGCAGAGAGGAGCUGGGCUGCAGCUCAGCAGUAAGUGCACAGCAUGUUUGAGGCCGUGUUUGAUCCGCAGCACCAAGGUCUCACUGGGCUCAAACUUGUGAUCCUCCUGCCAUAGCUUCCCAGAGUGCUGGGAUUGCAUGCAUGCACCAUCAUGCCUGGCUAAGUUUUCCAACAAUUUGGGGAAACCACUGAUCUACAUAACCCAAAGAAGGCCACCAAAAACUUCAGGACAUUGGAGAGAAGAAGGUAAGCUUUAUGAGGAAUAAGGAGUUAAGUAGUCUCCAAGUAUUUCUCUACAAACUGUAAGGAGUGAAAGGAAAAAUUUGUACAGGAGAGAAGCUGCACCACACCUUAACUGUGUGGCCUCUAGGCGCAGUUAGACAUGGACGCCUUCGAUUGUGGCGCCUGAGGACAGGAGAAAACUCAUAGCGUUCCUGCCCAAAGCACUAAUCUGAAAUGCGAUUUGAGGAAAUAUACAUCUAAACCGAGGAACAUCUUCAAAGUAAAUGGCUCUUACUGUUUUAAAAAAGGCAAAUGUCUUGCUAUUCGGAGAAAAGCGGAGGCACUACUCCAAAUGAAAGGACUUAGAGACUCGAGAGGACUCAGUGUAAGUACAAUACCCAAUCCCAGGCUGAAGCUGGGCCAGGAAAAAUACGCUGCUGUCAGUCUAUCAUGGAAACCAGUGCCAAAACGAAACGUGGACUGUGGUUCAGAGAAAAGCAUUCUAUCAACAUUACAUACUAAGUUUCCCGAAUUGAAACCUGUGGCUGCGGUUAGGGAGAAAGUAGCCUUGUUUAGGGUGUGCAAAUUGAAGAUUUAAGGGACAGAGGGGCAAUACUAUUUCUGCAACUCUUCUGUCAGCUUGAAAUGACCCCAGAAUAAAAUGAAAAGAGAUGAAUAUUCGUGUCCAUUUCUGAAUUUAAGAGUGCUGACUAGAAACAUUUGCUAAAAGCAUAAAGUACUAAAAAGCGCCUCCACGGCUUCCUCAAUGGAAAAGAAAACAUAAGCCACUUAUCUGAUAAAUUACUGUCGGUGGAUACGCUGGAGAUAGAACAAUGCCCCGUGCUUUGUUUCUCAGUUGGGAAACCCUGCAGAAACACCGAUCCCAGGUGGUUUCUGACUCCAGCCGGCAACUUUCACUACUUCCACCGCUUCUCCCCUCGGCUGAGUGAGCGGGAAGAGAGCGAGGGCUGGAGGCAGGGAGAGGAGCAGGGGAACCGGCUGCUGCGGCUGGGGAGGAAUCAGGCAGAAGGGACCGGGCGCAGGCUCCCCCAUGGCCAGUGACUGUGCACCGUGCCCCUCACGGAGAUGAGAGGGGUGGGGCAGGAGCUCCACGGUACACCGGUGCCAUCAGUGCCCGGGAGGGAACAGCUCGGCGGGAACGCCGGCAGGGAACUCGCUGCUCACGUCCAGUGAAGGGCUCUUCAGAUGCUGGGUCCAGCCUCACUGUAACCUCCACACUUUCAGACCGCUUGUACCCUUCGUGACACUGGAGCUGGACCGUCACCUUGACUGGCUUGGGAGCUGGCUGCCCACAGGAGUAGCAGAGCGGGCUUCUGGGUGUGUACUGGUGGGUCGUGGAGGUGUGGCAUCCACCUCUGGCCCCUCAUCUUUCCUCCCUGGCACUGCUCCCCUGUUCUGUCUCCUGGCCACCGUGAAUUAAGCAUCCUGGCUCUACCAUGAUGAUUCUUGCCUUGGAGCUGACCAUGGACUGAAGGCCCUGAAACUGUGAGCCCAAUUAACCUCUCCUUUAAGUUGUUGGUGCUGGGUAUUGUGUCCCAGCAAGAGGAAUGUUGACUAAUACACCCCUUGAAGCAGCAACAGACACAUAAACUGGAAGACAAUAAUCAGAACCCUUGUGCUAGAACUGGUUCCAGUUCUUUCCACUGUUACUUCUCAUAAACAUAAUGUGUUUGGAUCACAGCUCAGCCACACAGAAGAUGCUAGAUGCUGGCUUCUCCCAUCUUCAGGUUCCUCAGCUAUGGAGUGAGGAUUAUAAUACAUACUCUGUAUGCUGUCUUAAGAAUCAGAAAUAAUACAUUCAGUCCUCUGUAUCCAAGGGUUCCACAACUACAGAUUCAACCAACCACCAAACAAAAAUAUUUAAAAAA